rnacentral:hammerhead_ribozyme from 1 species
GCACUGCUGAAGAGUCGAAAAAUAGGACAAAACGGCCGUCCAAUGU